rnacentral:rRNA from 1 species
CCCUUAGAGUUUGAUCCUGGCUCAGAGUGAACGCUGGCGGUAGGCCUAACACAUGCAAGUCGAACGGCAGCACAGGAGAGCUUGCUCUCUGGGUGGCGAGUGGCGGACGGGUGAGGAAUACAUCGGAAUCUACCUUUUCGUGGGGGAUAACGUAGGGAAACUUACGCUAAUACCGCAUACGACCUACGGGUGAAAGUGGGGGACCGCAAGGCCUCACGCGAUUAGAUGAGCCGAUGUCCGAUUAGCUAGUUGGCGGGGUAAUGGCCCACCAAGGCGACGAUCGGUAGCUGGUCUGAGAGGAUGAUCAGCCACACUGGAACUGAGACACGGUCCAGACUCCUACGGGAGGCAGCAGUGGGGAAUAUUGGACAAUGGGCGCAAGCCUGAUCCAGCCAUACCGCGUGGGUGAAGAAGGCCUUCGGGUUGUAAAGCCCUUUUGUUGGGAAAGAAAUCCUAUCGGUUAAUAACCGGUGGGGAUGACGGUACCCAAAGAAUAAGCACCGGCUAACUUCGUGCCAGCAGCCGCGGUAAUACGAAGGGUGCAAGCGUUACUCGGAAUUACUGGGCGUAAA